rnacentral:rRNA from 1 species
CCGAUGCAAACUACGAAUACCGAAGAAUGUUAUCACGGGAGACACACGGCGGGUGCUAACGUCCGUCGUGAAGAGGGAAACAACCCAGACCGCCAGCUAAGGUCCCAAAGUCAUGGUUAAGUGGGAAACGAUGUGGGAAGGCACAGACAGCCAGGAUGUUGGCUUAGAAGCAGCCAUCAUUUAAAGAAAGCGUAAUAGCUCACUGGUCGAGUCGGCCUGCGCGGAAGAUGUAACGGGGCUAAA